GGAUGGGGUGUCUUGUGUACAACUAAUUGAUCACAACCAAUUACAAAUUCCUUUGUUCCUUCUUCACUCCCACUGCUUCAUUUGACUAGCCUUAA
rnacentral:Y_RNA from 1 species